rnacentral:rRNA from 1 species
GAUGAACGCUGGCGGCGUGCCUAAUACAUGCAAGUCGAACGCUUGCUUGAGGACUUGUCUUCAAGCGGGAGUGGCGAACGGGUGAGUAAUACAUAAGCAAUCUGCCCAUCGGCCUGGGAUAACAGUUGGAAACGACUGCUAAUACCGGAUAGGUGAUAGGGAGGCAUCUCUUGAUCAUUAAAGUUGGGAUACAACACGGAUGGAUGAGCUUAUGGCGUAUUAGCUAGUAGGUGAGGUAACGGCUCACCUAGGCGAUGAUACGUAGCCGACCUGAGAGGGUGACCGGCCACAUUGGGACUGAGACACGGCCCAA